GCCCGCCUAGCUCAAUCGGCCAGAGCGUCAGACUUUUAUCCGUUACAAGCGGAAGGGCAUCUGAAGGCUGCGAGUUCGACCCUCGCGGUGGGCU